rnacentral:sRNA from 1 species
AUGGACCCCAUGGACAUUGAAACUAACGUCAAGAGGAUAGUUGGAGAAGAAAUUCAAAGGUCUCAAAAUGAUUUCUUAAGCAAGUUAGAUGGAAUUUUCACGUCAAGAUUGCAGGCAUUUGGCAACCAACAAAAAGAGCGUUCGGAGGCGCAGAUGUGUAAACUUCAAACUGACAUUUUAACGGCAGAUACAUACAAGUUCCAGAAAAAGAGCUGUGAAGACCAGUUCAAGUUCAACAAGAAGAUGAACGUGACACUAAAAGAAGCAGAAUCUUGUUUGGAUUCUUCAGAUGACAAGUCCGCUCACGCUAAACAGAGAAUUAGUGAAGGUAUAGAACUUUUAGCUUAUCGUCAAAAACUAGUUAAAAUGGCUGAUUCGUCUGAACAUGGUUGGAGAGUAGUCCAAGAAUAUACUUCAAACCCGCUGGCCGAUGAUUCGGAAGACGACAGGAAGAUCAUGAGGGCAACAUCGCGUGCAGAGAGAAAGGCGAAAGUAGAAAAAUCCAAAAAGAAGCGUUCAACUCCAUAUUCUAGACCUUCAACUUCAGUAGAUAAUGGUAACAACAGUGGUGGCGUAAAGUCAGUUAGGAGGCCAGGAGUGUGUUAUAACUGUUAUAAACCAGGCCAUUGGCAGUUUGAAUGUCCAGAAAAGAAUAAGAAGUUAAGUACACAUAGUAAUUUAUUGUUAUAUAAUGAUGUGUAUAGAAAUAGUAAUUCUUUAAGUUUUUUCAUUGAUGAAAGUUUAACAUUGAAAACAGCUAAUUUGAACAAAGCUCACUUACUAGAUUCUGGCAAUGAUAGUAUUUGUUUACUCAACCGUGAGGAAUGUGUAGAUCAAUUGUCUAGACAUUUAAAUACACCCACGAAAUUGAUCAGUCCCGUAGGUAAACUCAGCUCAUCGAUACACAAAUGGAAACAAGCGGGUGCGACUGAUUAUAUUUUACAGGUAAUAGAAAAAGGUUACGGUAUACCUUUUAAAGAACUUCCUGAAAAUGUAUUUUUGCCUAAUAACAAAUCUUCGAGAGACAAUGGAGAUUUUGUUGCAAGCGAGAUAUCUAAAUUAUUAGAAAAAGGUUGUAUUUCUAAGGUUGAUAAUAAGCCAUUUGUUAUUAAUCCGCUUACGGUAGCUUUUAAUAGAUUACAAAAACCUAGAUUAGUGUUAGAUUGCAGGCACAUUAACAGUUGCAUACACCAAUUUAAAUUUAAAUUUGAAGAUGCAUCGGUGGCAAGAGAAUUAUUUGAAAAGGGAGAUUAUCUAUUUAGAUAUGAUUUAAAAAGUGCAUAUCAUCAUAUUGAAAUAAGAGAGGAGCACAAGCAAUAUUUAGGUUUUAGUUGGGUUAUUGACGGAGUGGCUAACUAUUUUGUUUUCAAUGUUCUUCCUUUUGGUAUUGCAAGUGCAGGACAUAUUUUUACAAAAGUUUUGAAAGAGGUGGUUAAGUACUGGAGAAAACAGGGAUUAAAGAUAAUUAUGUAUCUUGAUGAUGGUUUGGGUGGAGCUAGUGAUUUAGUUUCUGCUAAAAGAGCUAGUGAUUAUAUUAGAAAGAGUUUGUCUGAUUUUGGUUUUCUUAUAGCUGAGGACAAAUGUAUUUGGUAUCCACAACAAAACUUGAUUUGGAUAGGUUUAGUGUGGGAUAUGUAUUUAGGCAGAAUUCAGAUUACUCAAGAGCGAGUGGAUAGGUUGUUAUUAAGUAUUGUAAAAAUUCUUGAUGGUGUCAGUAAAGGGAAAAUUUUAUACAGAGCAAAACUGGUUGCUUGUAUUGUUGGACAAAUUAUUUCAAUGCAAGUUGUUUUUGGAAGUCUGGUAAGAUUAAGGACAAGGGAAUUAUACCAGUGUAUAGUUCUUAGAGCCAGUUGGAAGUCACUGGUUGCUUUGACAGCUCCAGCGGUUGGUGAGCUUAGAUUUUGGUUAAAUUCAGUAAAUGAUCUGAAUGAGAUGGGUGUGAAUCUGCAUGAGUCAGAUUUGUAUGAUCUUAAGGCUUAUACGGAUGCAUCAGAUAUUGGUUUUGGGGGAUUUGUUGUCCCUGCUAUUGAUAGCAAUAGUGCUGAGUCGGUCUGUGACUCUAGCGAUGUUCAGAUGAACAGUAGUCUGAUAACGCCCAGAAAUAGUUUGCACACUGUAGUGGGUAGUUGGGCAGAUCAUGAGAGGAUCAAGAGUUCUACAUGGCGUGAACUCGAGGCAGUCAAUAGAACAGUUAAAAGUUCUCUGCAUUUGAUUAAGAAUCAGACAUUACAAAUUAAUACAGAUAAUAAGAAUGUUACUAGCAUAGUAAAAAACGGGAGUAGGAAAACCGACCUUCAGGUUUUAGCAUGUGAAUUGCACACAUUAUGCUUUGAAAAUAGUUGUAAAAUUACGACACAAUGGAUACCUAGAGACCAAAAUAAAGUGGCAGACAAUCUGAGUAGAUACUCUGAUUGUGAUGACUGGGGUAUCAGUACUGAAGUCUUUAAUAGCUUAGAUAAUAUAUGGGGUAUUCAUACAGUGGACAGAUUUGCCACAGACUAUAACACUAAAUGUACAAGAUUUAAUUCUAAAUUUUGGUGUAAUUGUACAGAAGCAGUAGAUGCUUUUAAACAAAGUUGGAAAGGCGAAAACAAUUGGGUCGUCCCACCGCCUAAUUUGGUUUGUAAAGUUAUUAGAAAAUUUUUGGAAGACGAGGCAAACGGUACUUUAGUAGUUCCUUUUUGGAAAUCUGCGCCUUAUUGGGUGUUAUUGUGUGAAUCAAACGGGAAUUUUAAACGUUUUAUAAACAACAAAAAAUUCUUGACAGAAGAGAAUUCUGUUAUUACAGGGAGAGGUAAUAAUGGUUUAUUUGGGAAACAAGGAACAUUAACGAUGCUUGCAUUUAAGAUAAGAUUUGAUUGAUGUGUUUUUUAUUUUUUGGAACAGGCUUAAACAUUGAGCAGUUUGUGCACGAAGCCGUGGAGGACAGUGGAAUUGAAGAGGGACAUUCGUUACAUAAUUUAGUGAGGAGUUUAUCUACACGGUUACUAGAUGCCAGAAGUGAAAGUACUGAAGAAAAAAAAUAUUAUUACGGUUUUAUGAAAUGGAAAAGAUUUUGUAUAGAACAUAGUUUACUUUCUUUGCCAGCAUCGCCAAUUCAUAUAGCAUUAUAUUUUGUACAUUUAUUAGAUAAUGGUGGUACAUUUAGUACUGUUAACACUGCUUUUUACUCCGUUAAGUGGGCUCACGAAAUUUGUGGUCAGUUAGAUCCAACUAGCAACACAUUUGUGAAAAAUUUACUCGAGUCUGCUAAGCGAACUGCAAAAAACCCUGUCAACAAGAAAGAUCCAGUGUCUAAAGAUAUUUUAAUUGAUUUAUGUAGUAUGUAUCAAUAUUCCAAUGAUUUAACAGUUGUACGAGAUCUUGUCAUGAUUUUGUUAAGUUUUAGUGCUUUUCUACGUUUUAGUGAAUUGAGUCAAUUGAAAUGCAAUGAUGUCACAAUUAAAGAAGGUUAUUUGGUACUUAAAAUUAGGAAGAGUAAGACUGACCAGUAUAGAGCUGGAGAUGAGGUGUUGGUAUCUAAGGGGCAGUCUUUAGCUUGUCCUUAUUCUAUGUUUUUAAGAUAUCUUGGUUUGGCGAAUAUUGAAAUAUCCACAGACAUGUAUUUAUUUCGUCCUUUGUAUAGAUCUAAAGAUAAAUGUGGUUUGAUUAAGGUUAACAGGCCUAUAAGUUAUACUACUGCAAGAGAAUGUAUGAUAAAGCGUUUGAAAAUGGUUGCUCCAGAGCUUAACCUUGGUUUACAUUCUUUACGGUCAGGAGGUGCCACUUCGGCUGCUAAUGCAGGUGUUAAUGACAGGUGUUGGAAAAGACACGGAAGGUGGAAGAGUGAUUCAAGUAAGGAUGGUUAUGUAGCAGAUUCGGUUGCUAACCGAUUACAAGUUUCAGAGCAUUUAGGUUUAUAAAUUGUUAUUGUGUUCAAAAUGUUUUGCUGUUUAGCUGUCCUUUAUUUGAAGGUUUUUGUUUUGUACAUUACUGUGAUUAUUACCAAUUGGUCAGUUUUUUUCUUUAUACUCUAUCUUUGUUGUUCUAUAUACGCAGCGAGCUAGUCAACAAACUUAAGUUUGUAGUUGAGUUAUUUUUCUUAGAUGCUAAGGUACAUGAGUAUAGAGAAGACUUGUUUGUUCUGGCUCUACCAAUUGCAUCAUAAGAGGAUAUGUACUCGUCAAUAUACCAAAUUUUCUAAUAUGUAAGAAUAGAACGAACCAAAUUAAAACACCAAUAAACAGAAAAAUAUGCCUACUCGUAUAGCUUUUGAUAUAAAACAGAACUUUGAGAUAGCUUGGUUGUUGGGUUUUUUUUUUUGGAACAAAGCGGUGUAUACAACAUAGAUUUUGUAUAGGUAAUAAGCGUAUAGGCGUAAGACAAAUACCAAUAAAUCAAUCAAUCUUAAUUUUGUUUUUAUGUUCCUUACAGAGUCUUGCAAGAACACUUACUGGAAAACGCUUUAUUAAUAUGAUAUACGGGGUAGACCAAUAAGUCACAAUAAGUCACAAUAUAAAUGGUAAUCUGCAGAGAGGCAAGCUAGCAGAGGCUGGCAAUAAAGAUUCUGCAAGUGACAUUUGUGCUAAAGAAAUUACUCAAUAGUCAGAGUAGAGACACGUGAGAACACAUAUUGGUGAAAAACCUCAUGACUGUGAUGUAUGUGGUAAAGGGUUUCUAGUUUACAGAGACACAUGAUAACACACACAGGUGAUAAACCUCAUGAGUGUGAUGUGUGUGGUAAAGCCUUUAAUCUCCUUGGUAAUUUACAGAUUCACAUGAGAACACACACAGAUGAGAAACCACAUAACUGUAAUAUAUGUGGUAAACUGUUUAAUCAGUAUAGUAAUUUACAGAGUCACAUGAGAAAACAUACAGGAGAUAAACCAUAUAAUUGUGAAUUAUGUGGUAAACGGUUUAGUCAGCAUGGUAUUUUACAGAGACAUAUAAGAAUACAUACAGGUGAUAAACCUUAUGACUGUAAUGUAUGUGGUAAAGGAUUUAGUGAGCAAGGUAAUUUACAGAAUCACAUGAGAACACAUACAGGUGAUAAACCUUAUCAAUGUGAUGAAUGUGAUAAAAGGUUUAAUCAUCCUAGUAAUUUACAACGUCACAUAAGAACACAUACAGGUGAUAAACCUCAUAGCUGCGAUGUAUGUGGUAAAAGGUUCAGUGAGCAAGGUAGUUUACAAAUUCACAUGAGAACACAUACAGAAGAUAAACCUCAUGAAUGUGAUGUAUGUGGUAAACGGUUUACUCAGCUUGUUAGUUUACAAAUUCACAUAAGAAUACAUACAGGCGAUAAACCUCAUUACUGUGAUGUAUGUGGCAAAAGGUUUAGUCGACUUGGUAAUUUACAAAGUCACAUGAGAACACAUACAGGCGAUAGACCGCAUGUCUGUGAUGUAUGUGGGAAAAGUUUCAGUCAGCAUAGUAGUUUAAAAAGACACACGGGAACUCAUACAGGUGACAAACAUGAUAAACCUCAUGACUGUGAUGUAUGUGGUAAAGGGUUUAGUCAGCUUAGUAGUUUACAGAUUCACAUGAGAACACAUACAGGGGAAAAACCUUAUAACUGUGGUGUAUGUGGUAAAAGGUUCAGUCAGCGUAGUGAUUUACAAAGACACAUGAGAACUCAUACACCUGACAAACCGCAUGUCUGUGAUGUAUGUGGUAAAAGUUUCAGUCAGCAUAGUAGUUUACAAAGACACACGAGAACUCAUACAGGUGACAAACCGCAUGUCUGUGAUGUAUGUGGUAAAAGUUUCAUUCAGCAUAGUAGUUUACAGAGCCACAUGAGAACUCACACAGGUGAAAAACCGCAUGACUGAGGUGUAUUAUCACAUGAUUAUGUUAAGAGUUUUGUCCUCAUAGUAAUAUUAUAUACUGAUAGAUUCACAUACACAAAACAUACAGGUGAUAAACCUCACGACAGUGGUGUUUGUGAUUAGGGUUUAGUCCGUAUGUUGACGUAACGAGACACAUUGGAAUACAUACUGGACAUCAAGAUGUACUUACCAUGCAUACUGGUCAGUGAACAUCAAACUCAUUAACAAAAUGUUUGUAGUUGAGGGUACAGUUGAGUGGUAAUUUACAUAGACACACGAGAACAUGUACAAGCGAUGUCUGUCAUCAAGGUGACAGUGGUAAUUUACAUAGACAGGUGUACAGUCUAGCGAUGUCUGUCAUCAAGGUGAGAGUGGUAAUUUACAUAUACAGGUGAGAGUGAUAAUUUACAUAGACAUGUGACAGUGGUAAUUUACAUAUAUAGGUGAGAGUGGUAAUUUACAUAGACACACGAGAACAUGUACUAGCGAUGUAUGUCGUCAAGGUGACAGUGGUAAUUUGCAUAGACAGGUGACAGUGGAAAUUUACAUAGACACACGAAAACAUGUACUAGCGAAGUAUGUCAUCAAGGUGACAGUGGGAAUUUACACAGACAGGUGACAGUGGUAAUUUACAUGACAGGUGACAGUGGUAAUUUACAUGACAGGUGACAAUGGUAAUUUACAUGACAGGUGACAGUGGUAAUUUACAUGACAGGUGACAGUGGUAAUUUACAUAGACAGGUGACAGUGGUAAUUUACAUGACGGGUGACAGUGGUAAUUUACAUGACAGGUGACAUUGGUAGUUUACAUAGACAGGUGACAGUGGUAAUUUACAUAGACAGGUGACAGUGGUAGUUUACAUAGACAGGGGACAGUGGUAAUUUACAUAAACACACGAGAACAUGUACUAGCAAUGUAUGUCUUCAAGGUGACAGUGGUAAUUUACAUAAACAGGUGACAUUGGUAAUUUACAUAGACACACGAGAACAUGAACUAGCGAUGUCUGUCAUCAAGGUGAGAGUCGUAAUUUACAUAGACAGAUGACAGUGGUAAUUUACAUAGACACACGAGAACAUGUACUAGCGAUGUAUGUCUUCAAGGUGACAGAGGUAAUUUACAUAGACAGUUGACAGUAGUGAUUUACAUAGACAGGUGACAGUGGUAAUUUACAUAGACAGGUGACAGUAGUAAUUUACAUAGACAGGUGACAGUGGUUAUUUACAUAGACAGGUGACAGUAGUAAUUUACAUAGACAGGUGACAGUGGUAAUUUACAUAGACACACGGGAACAUUUACAUGAUGAACUAGCGAUGUAUGUCAUCAAGGUUGAGAGUGGUAAUUUACAUAGACAGGUGACAGUAAUAAUUUACAUAGACAGGUGACAGUUGUAAUUUACAUAGACACAAAGAGAACAUGUUCUAGCGAUGUCUGUCAUCAAGGUUAGAGUGGUAAUUGACAUUGACAGGUGACAUCGGUUAUUUUACAUAGACGGGAGAAUAUGUACUAGCGAUGUCUGUCAUCAAAAUGAGAGUGGUCAUUUACAUAGACACACGAGAGUAAGGGCAUGUAUGAUUAGAAUUCAAUACUUUUACAAAGUGAUAAUCCUAAAAUAUACCGUGCUUGAUGUUAAAAAUGUUAAACUGUCUGAAAAAUAUUGGCUGAAAAUGAACGAUGCUAUAGAAUAG